GAUGAACGCUGGCGGCGUGCCUAAUACAUGCAAGUCGAGCGAACGGACGAGAAGCUUGCUUCUCUGAUGUUAGCGGCGCACGGGUGAGUAACACGUGGAUAACCUACCUAUAAGACUGGGAUAACUUCGGGAAACCGGAGCUAAUACCGGAUAAUAUUUUGAACCGCAUGGUUCAAUAGUGAAAGACGGUCUUGCUGUCACUUAUAGAUGGAUCCGCGCUGCAUUAGCUAGUUGGUAAGGUAACGGCUUACCAAGGCAACGAUGCAUAGCCGACCUGAGAGAGUGGUAGGCCACACGGGAGCUGGGACGCGGUCCAGACUCCUACGGGAGGCAGCAGUAGGGAAUCUUCCGCAAUAGGCGAGAGCCUGACGGAGCAACGCCGCGUGAGUGAUGAAGGUCUUCGGAUCGUAAAACUCUGUUAUUAGGGAAGAACAUAUGUGUAAGUAACUGUGCACAUCUUGACGGUACCUAAUCAGAAAGCCACGGCUAACUACGUG
rnacentral:rRNA from 1 species